UACGUAGGUGGCGAGCGUUGUCCGGAUUUAUUGGGCGUAAAGGGUGUGUAGGCGGUUGUUUAAGUUUGGUGUGAAAUCUCCCGGCUCAACUGGGAGGGUGCGCCGAAUACUGAAUGACUUGGAGUGCGGGAGAGGAGAGUGGAAUUCCUGGUGUAGCGGUGAAAUGCGUAGAUAUCAGGAGGAACACCGGUGGUGUAGACGGCUCUCUGGACCGUAACUGACGCUGAGACACGAAAGCGUGGGUAGCAAACAGG
rnacentral:rRNA from 1 species